rnacentral:rRNA from 1 species
UAACCUGGUUGAUCCUGCCAGUAGUCAUAUGCUUGUCUCAAAGAUUAAGCCAUGCAUGUCUAAGUAUAAGCUUUUAUACAGUGAGACUGCGAAUGGCUCAUUAAAACAGUUAUAGUUUAUUUGCUAUUCGUUUAUAUGGAUAACCGUAGUAAUUCUAGAGCUAAUACAUGCAUUAUUCGCGACUCACGAAGCGUAGUAUUUAUUAGAUAAGCACCACGGGCUUCGGCUUGUGUGAGGAAUCAUAAUAACUGAGCGAACUACCAUCGGUAGUGAAGCAUUCAAGUUUCUGCCCUAUCAGCUUUCGAUGGUAGUGUAUUGGACUACCAUGGCGUUGACGGGUAACGGAGAAUUAGGGUUCGAUUCCGGAGAGGGAGCCUGAGAAACGGCUACCACAUCUAAGGAUGGCAGCAGGCGCGCAAAUUACCCAAUCCUAACUCAGGGAGGUAGUGACAAGAAAUAACAACUUCGGGCUUGCCCGAGAUUGGAAUGAGUACAACGUACAAUCUUUAACGAGUACCAACUGGAGGGCAAGUCUGGUGCCAGCAGCCGCGGUAAUUCCAGCUCCAGUAGCGUAUACUAAAGUUGUUGCAGUUAAAAAGCUCGUAGUUGAAUUUCUGUGUAGUGUACUUGCGGUCUCCGGACCAAUAUAUACUGCACAUCCAUCUGAACAGCACUUCUUGUCAUUCAUUUGUCGGUUGUGUGAUCAGAUACUUUACCUUGAGAAAAAUAGAGUGUUCCAAGCAGGCGUCCGCCUGAAUAGAAACGAAAGUUAAGGGAUCGAAGACGAUCAGAUACCGUCGUAGUCUUAACCAUAAACUAUGCCGACUAGAGAUUGGAGGUGCAAUCUCAAUACUCCUUUAGCAUCUUAGGAGAAAUCAAAGUCUUUGGGUUCUGGGGGUAGUAUGGUCGCAAGACUGAAACUUAAAGGAAUUGACGGAAGGGCACCACAAGGUGUGGAGCCUGCGGCUUAAUUUGACUCAACACGGGGAAACUUACCAGGUCCAGACAUGGGAAGGAUUGACAGAUUGGAGAUCUUUCUUGAUUCCAUGGAUGGUGGUGCAUGGCCGUUCUUAGUUGGUGGAGUGAUUUGUCAGGUUAAUUCCGAUAACGAACGAGACCUCAACCUGCUAACUAGUUGCAGCUUCUUUCAAGUUGUAGACUUCUUAGAGGGACUAUAGGAUUUAACCUAAGGAAGUUUGAGGCAAUAACAGGUCUGUGAUGCCCUUAGAUGUCCUGGGCCGCACGCGCGCUACACUGAUGCAGGCACUAAGUCUCCAAUUUCGAAAGAUUUUGGGAACCUUCAAACUGCAUCGUGCUGGGGAUUGACACUUGUAAUUAUUUGUCAUCAACGAGGAAUACCUAGUAAGCGCAAGUCAUCAGCUUGCACUGAUUACGUCCCUGCCCUUUGUACACACCGCCCGUCGCUCCUACCGAUUGGGUGAUGCGGUGAGCCUUUCGGACGGGCGCUUCGGCGCCUGAAAGUUAUGCAAAUCUCAUCACUUAGAGGAAGGAGAAGUCGUAACAAGGUUUCCGUAGGUGAACCUGCAGAAGGAUCAA